GGGGGAAACCCUGAUGCAGCCAUGCCGCGUGUGUGAAGAAGGCCUUCGGGUUGUAAAGCACUUUCAGUAGGGAGGAAGGUAGUGUAGUUAACACCUGCAUUAUUUGACGUUACCUACAGAAGAAGCACCGGCUAACUCCGUGCCAGCAGCCGCGGUAAUACGGAGGGUGCGAGCGUUAAUCGGAAUUACUGGGCGUAAAGCGCAUGCAGGCGGCCUGUUAAGUCAGAUGUGAAAGCCCCGGGGCUUAACCUCGGAAUUGCAUUUGAAACUGGCAGGCUAGAGUCUUGUAGAGGGGGUAGAAUUUCAGGUGUAGCGGUGAAAUGCGUAGAGAUCUGAAGGAAUACCAGUGGCGAAGGCGGCCCCCUGGACAAAGACUGACGCUCAGAUGCGAAAGCGUGGGGAGCAAACAGGAUUAGAUACCCUGGUAG
rnacentral:rRNA from 1 species